rnacentral:rRNA from 1 species
GAUGAACGCUGGCGGCGUGCUUAACACAUGCAAGUCGAACGAACAGGCCCAGCUUUUUGUGCGCUGUCGUGGCGAACGGGCGAGUAACACGCGAGUAACUAGCCCACAUCUCUGGGUUAAGUCACGUCGACAGGGCGGAACACCUACCAGAUACUAUCUUCACCCGCAUGGUUCUGUAGAGAUUGACGGUUUUGUGGUCGGUUUUCGAUGGAUCCGCGGCGCAUUAAGUUGUUGGUAAGGUAACGGCUUACCAAGGCAGCGAUGGGUAGCCGGCCUGAGAGGGGGACCGGCCACACUAGGACUGAGACACGGCCCAGACGCCUACGGGAGGCAGCAGUGGGGAGUAUUGCACAAUGGGCGCAAGCCUGAUGCAGCGACGCCGCGUGAGGGAUGACGGCCUUCGGGUUGUAAACCUCUUUCAGAGGGGAAGAAGCGGUAGUGACGGUACCUGCAGAAGAAGCACCGGCUAACUACGUG